UAUGUGAUCGUCUCUCGCAUAUCAAUAAGCGGAGGAAAAGAAACUAACAAGGAUUCCCCUAGUAACGGCGAGUGAAGCGGGAAGAGCUCAAAUUUGAAAUCUUAAAGGGUUUCCCUUUACGAAUUGUAGUUUAAAGAAGUGUUUUCUGUUGAGGUUUUGGUAAAAGUUCUUUGGAAUAGGACAUCAUAGAGGGUGAGAAUCCCGUAUUUGACCUUUACUUUCAACUUUGUGAUACACUUUCAAAGAGUCGGAUUGUUUGGGAAUGCAGUCCAAAAUGGGUGGUAAAUUUCACUCUAAAGCUAAAUAUUGGCGAGAGACCGAUAGCGAACAAGUACCGUGAGGGAAAGAUGAAAAGAACUUUGAAUAGAGAGUUAAACAGUACGUGAAAUUGUCAAAAGGGAAGCGUUUGACACCAGUGUUGUUUUUCUGAAAAUCAAUUAAAGAACUGUUUAUGCUAAGUUGUUUAGACUUUAUCAGCUAUCUGUUUAGUUUUGAGCUUUUCUUUAAUGCACUUUUCAGUUAACAAGUCAACAUCAAUUUCUUUUGCUGUAAAAAAGCUUGAGGAAGGUGGCUUGAGAUUCGUCUUAAGUGUUUAUAGCCUCUUGCCUAUGCAGUCGGAGAGAUUGAGGUCUGCAGCGUAGAUCCUUCGGGGCUAAAUGCAUUUGUGCUAAGUUAUAGCAUUUUAUAGACAACUUGUUGACUAUGAUUUGUCUUGUAGCUUACUCGCUUAUGUUAUUUUACCUACGCUUAGGAUGUUGAUCUACAGAGCGAGAGU
rnacentral:rRNA from 1 species